GUUCCUGUGGUGUAGGGUAGCACGUUAGGUUUUCGUCCUAGAAGUGUAUCGUUGGAUACCGGGAAUU
rnacentral:tRNA from 2 species